rnacentral:rRNA from 1 species
CAAUAGCGUAUAUUAAAGUUGUUGCAGUUAAAAAGCUCGUAGUUGGAUUUCUGGUUGAAGCGACCGGUCGGGCGUUGAUUCGUCUGCACUGGAGUCGGUUUUGGCCAUCCUCUAGGAAAGUGCGUCUGGUAUUAAGUUAUCGGGCGUGUGAUCCUGGUCUUUUACUGUGAAAAAAUUAGAGUGUUUAAAGCAGGCCUUCGCCUUGAAUACAUUAGCAUGGAAUAAUAAGAUAGGACUUUGGUCUAUUUUGUUGGUUUGCAGACCGAAGUAAUGAUUAAUAGGGAUAGUUGGGGGUAUUUAUAUUCCGAUGUCAGAGGUGAAAUUCUUAGAUUUUCGGAAGAUAAACUUAUGCGAAAGCAUUUACCAAGGAUGUUUUCAUUAA